rnacentral:rRNA from 1 species
CUAGCGUAUAUUAAAGUUGUUGCAGUUAAAAAGCUCGUAGUUGAACCUUGGGCCUGGCUGGCCGGUCCGCCUCACCGCGUGUACUGGUCCGGCCGGGCCUUUCCUCCCGGAGAGCCCCAUGCCCUUCACUGGGCGUGCGGGGGAACCGGGACUUUUACUUUGAAAAAAUUAGAGUGUUCAAAGCAGGCCUUUGCUCGAAUACGUUAGCAUGGAAUAAUAGAAUAGGACGUGCGAUCCUAUUUUGUUGGUUUCUAGGACCGCCGUAAUGAUUAAUAGGGACAGUCGGGGGCAUCAGUAUUCAAUUGUCAGAGGUGAAAUUCUUGGAUUUAUUGAAGACUAACUACUG